rnacentral:rRNA from 1 species
GAGUUUGAUCCUGGCUCAGGAUGAACGCUAGCGGCAGGCCUAAUACAUGCGAGUCGGACGGGAUCCAGUUGGUAGCUUGCUACCGAUUGGUGAGAGUGGCGCACGGGUGCGUAACGCGUGAGCAACCUACCCAUAUCAGGGGGAUAGCCCGAAGAAAUUCGGAUUAACACCGCAUGACACAAAUUGACCGCAUGGUUUAUUUGUCAAAUAUUCAUAGGAUAUGGAUGGGCUCGCGUGACAUUAGCUAGUUGGUGGGGUAACGGCCCACCAAGGCGACGAUGUCUAGGGGCUCUGAGAGGAGAAUCCCCCACACUGGUACUGAGACACGGACCAGACUCCUACGGGAGGCAGCAGUAAGGAAUAUUGGUCAAUGGGGGCAACCCUGAACCAGCCAUGCCGCGUGCAGGAUGACUGCCCUAUGGGUUGUAAACUGCUUUUGUUAGGGAAUAAACCCCACUACGUGUAGUGGGCUGAAUGAACCUAAAGAAUAAGGAUCGGCUAACUCCGUGCCAGCAGCCGCGGUAA